UUGCCGCGCAGGUGUGGGUCCUUGUUGCGGCGUCCACCCCAGCGAGCUCGCUUCGCCGCUGGGAAAACCGGCUGCUUUAUUUUUAAGUUCCCCUGACGGAAGUGCUGAUGGUUUGGGGCUCACUGUGGCUCUGCUAAGUGGCGGACCCAACGAUCCCACCAGGACGGGCCAUGCACUAGCCAGCCCCGCAUCAGCGCACGGGAUGACAGCCUUGCUGCCCACGGCAAGAGUUUGCCUCUUGACCUUACAUGGGUUACGUGAACCACAUACUGGCUUCCAGGCAUCCUGGGGCCGUCCCACCGCUGCAGUUUGCCCAGGGCUGUGCUGAGACCCAGCAGCCUCCCCCACCCCCUCUGUCAAGCCUUCCCUUCUGGCUGCUGCUCCAGAAACCCA